UAUAAAACAAUAAAUUUGCCGGAAUGAUUCAUUUAAAGUUAAAACAUUUCAAUGGCGGGUCACAAACUCUAGUGCUUGCAGAAGGAACAAGUUUUUAGAAAAGUUUAUAGUUUAAUCAAAUGUAGUCUUCAAUUUAAGGGAAAUGUUUAUAUGCUUGAUCAAUCCUUGAUGGUAAUAAUAAAGGAAUACUUAAUGCCUUUGUUGAAGUUCCUUAGUUCAGUUCAAUCGACCUUUCAAGAAGUAAUUCCAAAUCUAAUGAUGACAAACGUCCAAAUGCUGAGACAAAUAAGAAAACUUAUAUUUGUGAAAUACGCAACCGAGUUGCUGAAAAAAUAAGCAUUCUGGAAAAACACUCUUAUAAGAACUGAAGACUUCAAAAUGAAGAUAAAUAUAAAAGAAAAAUGGAUGUAGUUAGUUUCUGAUUAACAAAACUUAUGUAAAACUUA
rnacentral:misc_RNA from 1 species